rnacentral:rRNA from 1 species
GACGAACGCUGGCGGCGUGCUUAACACAUGCAAGUCGAACGGAAAGGCCCUGCUUUUGUGGGGUGCUCGAGUGGCGAACGGGUGAGUAACACGUGAGUAACCUGCCCUUGACUUUGGUAUAACUUCAGGAAACUGGGGCUAAUACCGGAUAGGCGCUCCUGCUGCAUGGUGGGGGUUGGAAAGUUUCGGCGGUUGGGGAUGGACUCGCGGCUUAUCAGCUUGUUGGUGGGGUAGUGGCUUACCAAGGCUUUGACGGGUAGCCGGCCUGAGAGGGUGACCGGGCACAUUGGGACUGAGAUACGGCCCAGACUCCUACGGGAGGCAGCAGUGGGGAAUAUUGCACAAUGGGCGGAAGCCUGAUGCAGCAACGCCGCGUGCGGGAUGACGGCCUUCGGGUUGUAAACCGCUUUCGCCUGUGACGAAGCGUGAGUGACGGUAAUGGGUAAAGAAGCACCGGCUAACUACGUG